rnacentral:lncRNA from 1 species
CUCAACCCUUUAUUCUUUCUUCAUUCAUCAAUUUCUUCUUCAAAAUCCUCAACAAUGUUCUUCUACAACCUUUUCUCCCGUUUCUCAACAACCAUUUCCUGAACCUCACUUCUCUCUACUCAGCGAAUUCCCCAACAACAAUUCCAUAACUUCUCCAAUCAAUUUCAUUCCCUAAUCAUUCCUCAAUCUACCAACAAGGUUCAUUUCUAAACUUGCUAAUCAAUUUUCAUUUUUUCCUAUUUUUUCAUGUUGUAGGAUUUUUCUAGGGUUUUAUGUUUAAGCUCAGAAUUUGUUAGGCUUAUGAUAAAAAAACAUUAUAUAUUGUAUUUGCAUAUUGUUUAGUGUUGCAUUCUAGAUUAGCUACCUUAAUUGUUGCUUUCUAUGAAGCACAGACUCUAACACGUCGACACCAAUAAUAAUUUGAAAAAUUAACAUAAUUUAAUGUAAUCAUAAGUUUUGGUGUCGUGUCGGCGACACCUACAUGUGUCCGACACCGGGACACGCUUAAUCCGAGGAGUGUCUGUGCUUCAUAUAAUGCUUUAGCAUGUUGUUUCUGGUUUUUAAUCUGUUUUAGUAAUUCCUUUUGAAUUCCAAUGUUUAGAAUGAAUAAAAAAAACUAUCUGAAUGUCAUUUUUGGGUUUAGAAAAGUAGC